rnacentral:misc_RNA from 1 species
UUAAGUUCAGCGGGUAUCCCUACCUGAUCCGAGGUCAACCUUAGAAAGAUUCUCCCUGAGGGGAGGCAGACCGUGUCCCGUAAACCCAUGUGUCCGAUACGUGUCCCGUGAAGAACUCAGUGUACCGGGGGUCCAACGAGGCCGCCGUCAUUGUCUUUGGGAGGGGCAGGAGCCCCCGAGGGGGCCUCCACCAAACCGUC